UACGAGGGGGGCAAGCGUUGUUCGGAAUUAUUGGGCGUGAAGCGCUCGUAGGCGGGACUGGAAGUCCGUGUUGAAAGACCUCGGCUCAACUGAGGGACCGGCUCGGAUACUCUAGUUCUUGAGGCAAUCAGAGGGUGAUGGAAUUCCCGGUGUAGCGGUGAAAUGCGUAGAUAUUGGGAGGAACACCAGUGGCGAAGGCGACUUUCUGGACUGUAACUGACGCUGAGGCGCGAAAGCGUGGGGAGCAAACAGG
rnacentral:rRNA from 1 species